rnacentral:rRNA from 3 species
AGAGUUUGAUCCUGGCUCAGAUUGAACGCUGGCGGCAGGCCUAACACAUGCAAGUCGAGCGGAUGACGGGAGCUUGCUCCCUGAUUUAGCGGCGGACGGGUGAGUAAUGCCUAGGAAUCUGCCUGGUAGUGGGGGAUAACGUUCCGAAAGGAACGCUAAUACCGCAUACGUCCUACGGGAGAAAGCAGGGGACCUUCGGGCCUUGCGCUAUCAGAUGAGCCUAGGUCGGAUUAGCUAGUUGGUGAGGUAAUGGCUCACCAAGGCGACGAUCCGUAACUGGUCUGAGAGGAUGAUCAGUCACACUGGAACUGAGACACGGUCCAGACUCCUACGGGAGGCAGCAGUGGGGAAUAUUGGACAAUGGGCGAAAGCCUGAUCCAGCCAUGCCGCGUGUGUGAAGAAGGUCUUCGGAUUGUAAAGCACUUUAAGUUGGGAGGAAGGGCAGUAAGUUAAUACCUUGCUGUUUUGACGUUACCGACAGAAUAAGCACCGGCUAACUUCGUGCCAGCAGCCGCGGU